AUUGAACGCUGGCGGCAGGCCUAACACAUGCAAGUCGGGCGAGCGGAGGACGGGUGCGUACUGUAUGGGGACUGCCUGAUGGCGGGGGCUAACUCCUGGAAACGGUCGCUAAUACCGCAUACUACCAGUUAACCGAUCUUGGAUUAGCUAGUCGGUGAGGUAACGGCUUACCUAGUCGACGAGCCCUAGCUGGUCUGAGAGGAUGAUCAGGCGUGCUGGGGCUGAGACACGGCCCAGACGCCUGCGGAGGCAGCAGUGGAGAAUAUUGCACAGUGGGCGCAAGCCUAAUGCGGCCAUGCCGCGUGUAUGAAGAAGGCCUUCGGGUUGUAAAGUACUUUCAGUCGGGAGGCGUUACCGACAGAAAAAGCACCGGCUAACUCCGUGCCAGCAGCCGCGGUAAUAC
rnacentral:rRNA from 1 species